CUGCCACAACCAGUUGUAUAGGCAUGUCAAAAUGACUUUAUACAGUCAAUAUGAAACAAGCAUUAAAUAUUUUUUCUCAUGUUGUUGCUUUUAUCAUUAUGAAUUCCUUGCUUGUUGCCACCUAAGAUACGAUGGAGCAAGCACAGUCUUAAAGAAGAUUUGCUGAUUUUUUGUUUUUCUCAGCAGACCAGAGUAGGACAUCCAUAAAAAUUCAUCAGAGAGCAUUUUACUACUGAGCUGCAAAGAUCAACCACCUCAGAAGAGCCAGAUUCCACUUCUGUGGCCAGGACUUUUACAUUAUGGCUGGUCCGAUUGUUUUACCCUGCGUUCUAUGCUACUAAACCUUGGAUCAUUCCUAAAGUACAAAUUCUGUUCUCGAACCACAAACAAGGCUAAAAGAUCGGAGGAAAUUCAGUGAAUAUACAGGAUUGGGGUGUCUGAUGAUUUGUGAGCCUCAAGUGACUACUCUGUGGAAUCAUCUGUCCUUGCCUUUGAAUUAGCUUUCCCUAGGCCAUGAGUCAACAUUAGUAGUUUAUACAUCCAAAUUGAUGACAAGAGCACCUCAAAGGCAGCAGCCUCAAGGAGCAGCCAUGGCCCCAGACUUGUCGCACGGAUGCAGAAAACUUAAUGGAGGAGGCUGAGCAAAACAGAGCGUGACACUCCCAAUCAUCUGC
rnacentral:lncRNA from 1 species